CGUGGUAGCUCAGUUGGUGAGAGCGUCGGAUUCAUAACCCGGAGGUCGGCGGUUCGAAUCCGCCCCACGCUA
rnacentral:tRNA from 1 species